AGAAAAGCGAUGAAGAGAAGAGUAGAUCAAGUGAAUUCUUAUACAGAGAGCUUCGGUAGCUGAAAAGAAGCAAGGAAUAAUUGAUUGAACAUGGUCUCUGAGCUGCAUAUCUGAGCUUUUAAGUAAAGGUAUGACGAGAUUUGACACUCGUUAUCUAUGUCAUAGUAUAAGAACAUGUUGUCUAUUGUUCCGUACUAAUGGAGGCUAUUCAUGUGAAUGAUUAGUGAACAAAGGUGGUAACACGAGUAUACCCUCGUCCUUUGA
rnacentral:ncRNA from 1 species